rnacentral:rRNA from 1 species
UACGGGGGGAGCAAGCGUUGUUCGGAUUUACUGGGCGUAAAGGGCGCGUAGCGGCGCAACAAGUCACUUGUGAAAUCUCCGGGCUUAACCCGGAGCGGUCAAGUGAUACUGUCGUGCUAGAGUGCGGAAGGGGCUACUGGAAUUCUCGGUGUAGCGGUGAAAUGCGUAGAUAUCGAGAGGAACACCAGCGGCGAAGGCGGCAUCCUGGACCAAUACUGACGGCU